CUACGGAGGGUGCAAGCGUUAAUCGGAAUUACUGGGCGUAAAGCGUACGUAGGCGGUUCGUUAAGUUAGAUGUGAAAGCCCCGGGCUUAACCUGGGAACUGCAUUUAAAACUGGCGAACUAGAGUUGAGUAGAGGGGAGUGGAAUUUCAGGUGUAGCGGUGAAAUGCGUAGAGAUCUGAAGGAACACCAGUGGCGAAGGCGGCUCCCUGGACUCAAACUGACGCUGAGGUACGAAAGCGUGGGUAGCAAACGGGAGUAGAUACCCGUGUAGUCC
rnacentral:rRNA from 1 species